rfam:Polaribacter atrinae strain KACC 17473 LPB303_18, whole genome shotgun sequence.
AGUAAACUUUAGGAGUAGCUAUUAAAUUAGUUUGAGAAAAAUCCUUAGAACCUGAUUUGGUUAAUACCAACGUAGGAAAAAGUUGCUUAGAUUUA